rnacentral:rRNA from 1 species
AUUGAACGCUGGCGGCAUGCCUUACACAUGCAAGUCGAACGGCAGCACGGGAGCAAUCCUGGUGGCAAGUGGCGAACGGGUGAGUAAUAUAUCGGAACGUGCCCAGUCGUGGGGGAUAACGUAGCGAAAGCUACGCUAAUACCGCAUACGAUCUAUGGAUGAAAGCGGGGGAUCGCAAGACCUCGCGCGAUUGGAGCGGCCGAUAUCAGAUUAGGUAGUUGGUGAGGUAAAGGCUCACCAAGCCGACGAUCUGUAGCUGGUCUGAGAGGACGACCAGCCACACUGGGACUGAGACACGGCCCAGACUCCUACGGGAGGCAGCAGUGGGGAAUUUUGGACAAUGGGCGCAAGCCUGAUCCAGCAAUGCCGCGUGCAGGAUGAAGGCCUUCGGGUUGUAAACUGCUUUUGUACGGAGCGAAAAGGCUUCCACUAAUACUGGGGGCUCAUGACGGUACCGUAAGAAUAAGCACCGGCUAACUACGUGCCAGCAGCCGCCGCCGUAA